rnacentral:rRNA from 1 species
UACGUAGGGUGCGAGCGUUAAUCGGAAUUACUGGGCGUAAAGCGUGCGCAGGCGGUUCGUUGUGUCGGUGGUGAAAUCCCCGGGCUUAACCUGGGAAUGGCCAUGGAAACUGGCGAACUGGAGUGCGGCAGAGGGGGGUGGAAUUCCGCGUGUAGCAGUGAAAUGCGUAGAGAUGCGGAGGAACACCGAUGGCGAAGGCAGCCCCCUGGGCUAGCACUGACGCUCAGGCACGAAAGCGUAGGGAGCAAACAGG